UUCCGUCCCUUCUCUUAUAUUAUACAGUUAUAACUUCUCUUUCUGUCUUUCUAGUUCACUACAUUUUUUUCUCUACUGCAAAAGUUUCUAAAGUUUGUAUUCCAUACUAUAUAUUUCAAUUGCUGUUCUAUCAACACAGAAUUGCAAUUUUCAUUUCAUUUUUAAAUUACAGAAAUUAUAUCUAUGUAUUUUCCUUUAAAAAAAAAAUAAUGUGCAAGGAGGGCCUAGGUGGCUCAGUUGGUAGGUGUCUAUACUUUUAAAAAAUAUUUUAUUUAUUUAUUUGACAGAGGAACUGCACAAUCAUGGGGAACAGCAGAGGGAGAGGAAGAAGCAGGGAAAUAAGGAAAACAUCCGUUUUGCCAGAAAUAGGAAAUUUAAAGCCAAAAAGUCCAUGUAAAAUAAAAGGUGUUCUUGUGUUUGAACAUCAGAAACAUUUGCUGCUUAAGCAACAUAGUUUAAAUGAUUAAGCAGUUUUACCUGAAGCUUCAGAAGAUCCCGUGAAGAAUGUACAAUAAUCAGCAGUUUGCUUACUUCCACACCAACAGAAGGAAAUUUACACUUAUAUGCCCUGAAGAAUUGACUCGUUUCUGUAAAUGACAUAUGGUGGAGAAUCCUUUUUGAAAAUAAAUACUCCUGUUUUCAUGCUGAACGGGUUUUUUCAUUUAAAUUCAUGACAACAUAUCAAAAACCUUGCCAUAAAAAUACAGAGCAAUCAAUUGAAGUAAUACAGGAU
rnacentral:lncRNA from 1 species